rnacentral:rRNA from 1 species
AUUGAACGCUGGCGGCAUGCCUUACACAUGCAAGUCGAACGGUAACAGGUCUUCGGAUGCUGACGAGUGGCGAACGGGUGAGUAAUACAUCGGAACGUGCCUAGUAGUGGGGGAUAACUACUCGAAAGAGUGGCUAAUACCGCAUGAGAUCUACGGAUGAAAGCAGGGGAUCGCAAGACCUUGUGCUACUAGAGCGGCCGAUGGCAGAUUAGGUAGUUGGUGGGAUAAAAGCUUACCAAGCCGACGAUCUGUAUCUGGUCUGAGAGGACGAUCGGCCACACUGGGACUGAGACACGGCCCAGACUCCUACGGGAGGCAGCAGUGGGGAAUUUUGGACAAUGGGCGCAAGCCUGAUCCAGCAAUGCCGCGUGCAGGAUGAAGGCCUUCGGGUUGUAAACUGCUUUUGUACGGAACGAAAAGCCCUGGGUUAAUACCCUGGGGUCAUGACGGUACCGUAAGAAUAAGCACCGGCUAACUACGUGCCAGCCGCCGCCGUAAGAC